rnacentral:lncRNA from 1 species
CAUUAUAAUUGUUAGAACUGAACAGCUCACCAGAAAAAAGCUCAGUUGAGAAAGGAGUCAACCAGAGGUUGAAAUGCUUAGGUUACAUCCCUCGCUUUGGAAAGCAAAAAAGUUUGCCGAGUCAGAUUAUUGGACCAGGAUCUGGCCCUGGGAUAUCCAGAGUCCCCCAAGAUUGGGGAGGUCUAGCUGAGCGCCAAGUCACCCCUGAAAGGACAGCAGAUGAUAAAGAUGAUAUUCAGAAAUGGAGGUGCAGAGGGCUGGAUGAGGUCGUCCCUGCACCAAGGAAAUUGAAAGCAGUGGCCUGAGAUAGAGUGGACUUGAAAAAUUCUCUGGAGAAGGCCUGUAGAAAAUUGUAAGCGGUGAUAACGGUACACGCCUGGUAAGGAGAAGCAGAGUCAGAGUGCAACGCAACAGAGAUUGGCUCGUGCCGGGAGUUGGUGAAUUUCUUCAUGGAGAUGGGCGCGUUCACAGAGGAGGAAGAGGUAAGGGGGUUCAGUCACUGAGGACCCAUUUUGUGCAACACUUGAGAGAGUGCAUUAGAUGUAAGACAUGAUCUCAAGUAACCUCUUACCUUCUUUUUCCUUCUCUCCUUUCCUCCCUUUUUUGCUCUCCUCCUCCUCUUAUUGCUAGGCUUAAUUUUUGUGUGA